ACAACCAUAGAUAUUUUUCUUCUAAUUUGGCUCCCGUUCCUCCAACAGGGAGCAAGACCUGCCAGCAGAGAUUAACCACAUGCAGGGGACGCUGAACACCUUGCAGGGGCAGUGUAUUGAGUUGCAGACUGCCAUAUCUAAGGUAGUGUCAGAUGAGUCUCAGAUACAGAAGAAUAAGUCUAUGAUGUUAUGGUGAUAAUGAUUGAGAUGGUGAUUAUAAUAAUGAUGACUAACGGUACCCCACCCUGCGGGCGGUAAAUCAUUGGAUCUGAUUAAUUCAAUUCAAUGCAAUUCAAUCUUAGAGGACUGCAACCAUAGAAAUACAAUGUAUUUACACUAAUAAUAAGCUAUUGUCAACUUCCCGUCUAUGGUUAUCUUGCUCAUUGCUCACUGUCAAUUGCUGAUUGUUACCCUGUGUGUGCAACUAUUAUUGAUUUCUCACAGAAAAAUUAUUUGUUUGCAAAUGUACCUGGGGCCAUGUAAAUAAUUGUUAGGCUACUCAUUUUGAAUCCACCGGUGGCAACUUGUGUGACCAUAAAAGUCUGUGUGCGACUGGGCACAGUAAAAUAAUUUGGUUACUGACCUGCCCUACAUCAUAGAAGGCCCUUCAAGUCGGAACUAGGAAAUUCUGACAUUUCUGACUCGCUAACUCGUUAUGGAAUGAUGAUUUCAAGUUUCCCACUUGUGAAGUAUGAGAAUCAACCAGUAGGAAGCUCUACACUAAUAUUUUACAUUCAUUUCAAAUCUGAGGUUCCAAGUUUCCGAUGGCAUGUGAAUUUUUCAAUAGUUGCCAUGGUAAUUUUGAAUGUUCAGUCAGUGGUAAAGCAACACUCACAGUGUGAUGGAGAGAGGUAAAGCAACACUCACAGUGUGUAGAGAGUGGUAAAGCAACACUCACAGUGUGUAGAGAGUGGUAAAGCAACAAUCACAGUGUGAUGGAGAGUGGUAAAGCAACACUCACAGUGUGAUGGAGAGAGGUAAAGCAACACUCACAGUGUGUAGAAAGUGGUAAAGCAACACUCACAGUGUGAUGGAGAGUUGUAAAGCAACACUCACAGUGUGAUGGAGAGAGGUAAAGCAACACUCACAGUGUGUAGAGAGUGGUAAAGCAACACUCACAGUGUGAUGGAGAGUGGUAAAGCAACACUCACAAUGUGAUGGAGAGAGGUAAAGCAACACUCACAGUGUGAUGGAGAGUGGUAAAGCAACACUCACAGUGUGAUGGAGAGAGGUAAAGCAACACUCACAGUGUGAUGGAGGGAGGUAAAGCAACACUCACAGUGUGUAGAGAGUGGUAAAGCAACACUCACAGUGGGAUGGAGAGUGGUAAAGUAACACUCACAGUGUGAUGGAGAGAGGUAAAGCAACACUCACAGUGUGAUGGAGAGAGGUAAAGCAACACUAACAGUGUGAUGGAGAGUGGUAAAGCAACACUCACAGUGUGAUGGAGAGUGGUAAAGCAACACUCACAGUGUGAUGGAGAGAGGUAAAGCAACACUCACAGUGUGAUGGAGAGUGGUAAAGCAACACUCACAGUGUGAUGGAGAGUGGUAAAGCAACACUCACAGUGUGAUGGAGAGUGGUAAAGCAACACUCACAGUGUGAUGGAGAGUGGUAAAGCAACACUCACAGUGUGUAGAGAGUGGUAAAGCAACACUCACAGUGUGAUGGAGAGUGGUAAAGCAACACUCACAGUGUGUAGAGAGUGGUAAAGCAACACUCACGGUGUGAUGGAGAGUGGUAAAGCAACACUCACAGUGUGAUGAGAGUGGUAAAGCAUCACUCACAGUGUGAUGGAGAGAGGUAAAGCAACACUCACAGUGUGAUGGAGAGAGGUAAAGCAACACUCACAGUGUGAUGGAGAGUGGUAAAGCAACACUCACAGUGUGUAGAGAGUGGUAAAGCAACACUCACAGUGUGUAGAGAGUGGUAAAGCAACACUCACAGUGUGAUGGAGAGUGGUAAAGCAACACUCACAGUGUGAUGGAGAGUGGUAAAGCAACACUCACAGUGUGAUGGAGAGUGGUAAAGCAACACUCACAGUGUGAUGGAGAGAGGUACAGCAACACUCACAGUGUGAUGGAGAGUGGUAAAGCAACACUCACAGUGUGAUGGAGAGAGGUAAAGCAACACUCACAGUGUGAUGGAGAGAGGUAAAGCAACACUCACAGUGUGAUGGAGAGAGGUAAAGCAACACUCAGUGUGUAGAGAGUGGUAAAGCAACACUCACGGUGUGAUGGAGAGAGGUAAAGCAACACUCACAGUGUGUAGAGAGUGGUAAAGCAACACUCACAGUGUGAUGGAGAGAGGUAAAGCAACACUCACAGUGUGAUGGAGAGAGGUAAAGCAACACUCACAGUGUGUAGAAAGUGGUAAAGCAACACUCACAGUGUGUAGAAAGUGGUAAAGCAACUCUCACAGUGUGAUGGAGAGAGGUAAAGCAACACUCACGGUGUGAUGGAGAGUGGUAAAGCAACACUCACAGUGUGUAGAGAGUGGUAAAGCAACACUCACAGUGUGAUGGAGAGUGGUAAAACAACACUCACAGUGUGUAGAGAGUGGUAAAGCAACACUCACAGUGUGUAGAAAGUGGUAAAGCAACACUCACAGUGUGAUGGAGAGUUGUAAAGCAACACUCACAGUGUGAUGGAGAGAGGUAAAGCAACACUCACAGUGUGUAGAGAGUGGUAAAGCAACACUCACAGUGUGAUGGAGAGUGGUAAAGCAACAGUCACAGUGUGAUGGAGAGAGGUAAAGCAACACUCACAGUGUGAUGGAGAGUGCUAAAGCAACACUCACAGUGUGAUGGAGAGAGGUAAAGCAACACUCACAGUGUGUAGAGAGUGGUAAAGCAACACUCACGGUGUGAUGGAGAGUGGUAAAGCAACACUCACAGUGUGAUGGAGAGAGGUAAAGCAACACUCACAGUGUGAUGGAGAGAGGUAAAGCAACACUCACAGUGUGAUGGAGAGUGGUAAAGCAACACUCACAGUGUGAUGGAGAGUGGUAAAGCAACACUCACAGUGUGAUGGAGAGAGGUAAAGCAACACUCACAGUGUGAUGGAGAGUGGUAAAGCAACACUCACAGUGUGAUGGAGAGUGGUAAAGCAACACUCACAGUGUGAUGGAGAGUGGUAAAGCAACACUCACAGUGUGAUGGAGAGAGGUAAAGCAACACUCACAGUGUGUAGAGAGUGGUAAAGCAACACUCACAGUGUGAUGGAGAGUGGUAAAGCAACACUCACAGUGAGAUGGAGAGAGGUAAACAACACUCACAGUGUGAUGGAGAGUGGUAAAGCAACACUCACAGUGUGAUGGAGAGUGGUAAAGCAACACUCACAGUGUGUAGACAGUGGUAAAGUAACACUCACAGUGUGGAGAGAGUGGUAAAGCAACACUCACAGUAUGAUGGAGAGAGGUAAAGCAACACUCACAGUGUGAUGGAGAGUGGUAAAGCAACACUCACAGUGUGAUGGAGAGUGGUAAAGCAACACAGAGUGUGAUGGAGAGUGGUAAAGCAACACUCAGUGUGAUGGAGAGUGGUAAAGCAACACUCACAGUGUGAUGGAGAGAGGUAAAGCAACACUCACAGUGUGAUGGAGAGAGGUAAAGCAACACUCACAGUGUGUAGAGAGUGGUAAAGCAACACUCACAGUGUGUAGAGAGUGGUUAAGCAACACUUACAGUGUGAUGGAGAGUGGUAAAGCAACACUCACAGUGUGAUGGAGAGAGGUAAAGCAACACUCACAGUGUGAUGGAGAGUGGUAAAGCAACACUCACAGUGUGUAGAGAGUGGUAAAGCAACACUCACAGUGUGAUGGAGAGUGGUAAAGCAACACUCACAGUGUGAUGGAGAGUGGUAAAGCAACACUCACAGUGUGAUGGAGAGAGGUAAAGCAACACUCACAGUGUGAUGGAGAGUGGUAAAGCAACACUCACAGUGUGUAGAGAGAGGUAAAGCAACACUCACAGUGUGAUGGAGAGAGGUAAAGCAACACUCACAGUGUGUAGAGAGUGGUAAAGCAACACUCACAGUGUGAUGGAGAGAGGUAAAGCAACACUCACGGUGUGAUGGAGAGAGGUAAAGCAACACUCACGGUGUGAUGGAGAGUGGUAAAGCAACACUCACAGUGUGAUGAGAGUGGUAAAGCAUCACUCACAGUGUGAUGGAGAGAGGUAAAGCAACACUCACAGUGUGAUGGAGAGAGGUAAAGCAACACUCACAGUGUGAUGGAGAGUGGUAAAGCAACACUCACAGUGUGUAGAGAGUGGUAAAGCAACACUCACAGUGUGUAGAGAGUGGUAAAGCAACACUCACAGUGUGAUGGAGAGUGGUAAAGCAACACUCACAGUGUGAUGGAGAGUGGUAAAGCAACACUUAAAGUGUGAUGGAGAGAGGUAAAGCAACACUCACAGUGUGAUGGAGAGUGGUAAAGCAACACUCACAGUGUGAUGGAGAGAGGUAAAGUAACACUCACAGUGUGAUGGAGAGAGGUAAAGCACCACUCACAGUGUGAUGGAGAGAGGUAAAGCAACACUCACAGUGUGAUGGAGAGAGGUAAAGCAACACUCACAGUGUGAUGGAGAGAGGUAAAGCAACACUCACAGUGUGAUGGAGAGUGGUAAAGCAACACUCACAGUGUGUAGAGAGUGGUAAAGCAACACUCACAGUGUGAUGGAGAGAGGUAAAGCAACACUCACAGUGUGAUGGAGAGUGGUAAAGCAACACUCACAGUGUGAUGGAGAGUGGUAAAGCAACACUCACAGUGUGUAGAGAGUGGUAAAGCAACACUCACAGUGUGAUGGAGAGUGGUAAAACAACACUCACAGUGUGAUGGAGAGAGUUAAAGCAACACUCACAGUGUGUAGAGAGUGGUAAACCAACACUCACAGUGUGUAGAGAGUGGUAAAGCAACACUCACAGUGUGAUGGAGAGUGGUAAAGCAACACUCACGGUGUGAUGGAGAGUGGUAAAGCAACACUCACAGUGUGAUGGAGAGUGGUAAAGCAACACUCACAGUGUGAUGGAGAGAGGUAAAGCAACACUCACAGUGUGAUGGAGAGUGGUAAAGCAACACUCACAGUGUGAUGGAGAGAGGUAAAGGAACACUCACAGUGUGAUGGAGAGUGGUAAAGCAACACUCACAGUGUGAUGGAGAGUGGUAAAGCAACACUCACAGUGUGAUGGAGAGUGGUAAAGCAACACUCACAGUGUGAUGGAGAGAGGUAAAGCAACACUCACAGUGUGAUGGAGAGUGGUAAAGCAACACUCACAGUGUGUAGAGAGAGGUAAAGCAACACUCACAGUGUGAUGGAGAGAGGUAAAGCAACACUCACGGUGUGAUGGAGAGAGGUAAAGCAACACUCACGGUGUGAUGGAGAGUGGUAAAGCAACACUCACAGUGUGAUGAGAGUGGUAAAGCAUCACUCACAGUGUGAUGGAGAGAGGUAAAGCAACACUCACAGUGUGAUGGAGAGAGGUAAAGCAACACUCACAGUGUGAUGGAGAGUGGUAAAGCAACACUCACAGUGUG
ensembl:lncRNA